ensembl:lncRNA
AAACCUGUAGGGAGUUAGCUGGGAAGGUAGUCACUGUUUGGGUGGAUUGUCUUUAUGACAGUGAAUGGCUGUGUGGUGCUAAGCUGUCUGCCAGUUUAAACUACAGCAAAGGCAACUUGGGAUCCUGAUUCAAUAUUUAAGUUACUGAUAUCCUUCAGAAUCCAUAGAUUUUUAAUGAGACUAGUUAAAGAGCAUGUACUUAUUAUGGUAGCUAAGGGUGCUGUUAGGCCUUACAAACUUGCCUACCUUCCCCUUCAUAUCUGUUACUGAAACAGCAGGCUGUACACUUACAUGAGGAAUGAAUUCCUGCAGAUUCACAGAAAACAAGAAGUUACGUGAAGAGUCUUUCCACCUCAUUUUCAAGGAGAGAGUUGUUUUUCUUCAGCAUCCUUUCAGAGACACUAAAGAGUACUACUGCAAGUGGAAAGAGAAUCAUGCUAUCAGACAAAACUACUGAGACAGAAGAAGGCUGCACAUUGGAUAUUUUUUAGACAGUUGUCAACAGGUGAUGCUGUUCAUAUGUUAGUCCCUAAUGAAUAAAUAACACAUAUGCUAUUUUCAAAUGUGUAUAUAAAUAUAGUACAAUAUUUUGAUGUUUAAGAAUCAGCUGUAGUAAUAAAUGCAGCAGCUUCAAGAUGUCUUUGAGUUACCAUGUUUGUGAUUUACAUGGGGCAAACAAAAGCAUCAGCUUACUUUCUCAACCUUCCAAUGAGGACUUGUUCAGUAUUUAAAGGUCCUUUUGAUUGUUCACUCAGUUUAAGUUCUGUAACUCUUAAGCUAACUAUAUAGAGUUCUUUUGUAGUCAUAGUGGAAAAUGAGCACCUACAGAGAGAGACCUACCUACACUAUUUUAGAUGAUAGUUUCACAGUAAUGAAACCACCCAAACUUGAAUCAUUAAGAGGGGCAGUCCCACAUUCUACCAUCUCCAGAUUCUUAUUUUCAGAUUUUGACAUCUUCUCUUUGAUGUUACUCUAUGUAACUGUGGGCUACAUCAGGGAACCAAUCCGGAUUAGUCUUUUAUUUGCCAAGAUAAUUUCAGUCUGGGUCAGUUGCCUGAUCUGUUCAUAACAUUACUAACAAUUAUGACAGCACUAGAAGUGAGGGUUUACAAUGGUAAUGAGCAACCCAAAAGGAGUAACAUUAAAGAAUGAUGCUAGGCACCUCAGCUAGAAGGAGAUGAAUCACCAUCUGCACGCUAUUGUUCUGUUAGCUUACAACCAGAGUUGCACCAGCCACCUGAGAUGGUAGUAAACUUACAUGAAAUGAGCUCUGCUUGAAAUAACCACCAUGAUUCACACUUCUGGGGACUACUUUUUUUCUCUGAAUCAGACAGCUUGAUGCGCUGAUUUGUAGCAUCUUGGUACCUUGCACAUUUUGAGGGCUUUGUUUACUUUAAGUUUAAAAUCGAGGAACUGCUUAGAAUGACUUCUCACUGGUAUCAAAACCAAACAGAAAAUAGACAGGAAAAGGCAGAAGUUUGACCAAAUGGGCAAACUUUACUCUACAUCUACACUUACAAGUUAUGGAGUGAUUAUUAGGUACUUUCAUGACUUUCAUAAUCAAGUAUCACAGAAAAAUAGAGGCUGUUACACAGCAAGUUAUACAUAACCACAAUUGUGACUGUUUUAUGGCUUUUUACUGGUGGGCUUGUAAAUACUUGAGUAUUGAUCCUCUCUUUUUUUUUUUUUUUUUUUUGAUGUAGUUGCAUGAAUGACUACAUCAAAUUUAUGGGCGGGAACAUUGCCUCUUUUGGAAGAACUUAUGUAAAUGUGAUAUUAUUUUUUUAGUCUGUGUACAAUCCUGUUUCUGUGUACAUAGGAGGAAUAAAG